rnacentral:rRNA from 1 species
GCUUGUCUCAAAGAUUAAGCCAUGCAUGUCUAAGUGUAAAUAAGUCUAUACUGUGAAACUGCGAAUGGCUCAUUAAAUCAGUUAUCGUUUAUUUGAUGAUCUCUUACUACUUGGAUAACCGUAGUAAUUCUAGAGCUAAUACAUGCGCAAAUACCCAACUGUUUUUCGGAAGGGUAGCAUUUAUUAGAUCGAAACCAAUGCAGUCUCUUGGCUGGUAUUGUGUUGAAUCAUAAUAACUGUGCGGAUCGCCUCGAGCGAUAAAUCGAUUGAGUUUCUGCCCUAUCAGCUUUGGAUGGUAGGAUAUGGGCCUACCAUGGCAUUAACGGGUAACGGGGAAUUAGGGUUUGAUUCCGGAGAGGGAGCCUUAGAAACGGCUACCACAUCCAAGGAAGGCAGCAGG